rnacentral:rRNA from 1 species
CCUACGGGUGGCAGCAGUGGGGAAUAUUGGACAAUGGGGGGAACCCUGAUCCAGCGACGCCGCGUGAGUGAAGAAGUAUUUCGGUAUGUAAAGCUCUAUCAGCAGGGAAGAAAGAAAUGACGGUACCUGACUAAGAAGCCCCGGAUAACUACGUGCCAGCAGCCGCGGUAAUACGUAGGGGGCAAGCGUUAUCCGGAUUUACUGGGUGUAAAGGGAGCGUAGACGGCGAUGCAAGUCUGAAGUGAAAGGCGGGGGCCCAACCUCCGGACUGCUUUGGAAACUGGAUGGCUGGAGUGCGGGAGAGGUAAGUGGAAUUCCUAGUGUAGCGGUGAAAUGCGUAGAUAUUAGGAGGAACACCAGUGGCGAAGGCGGCUUACUGGACUGUAACUGACGUUGAGGCUCGAAAGCGUGGGGAGCAAACAGGAUUAGAUACCCGAGUAGUC